UGGGGCGUAGCCAAGCGGCAAGGCAGCGGAUUUUGAUUCCGCCAUGCGGAGGUUCGAAUCCUCCCGCCCCAG
rnacentral:tRNA from 2 species